CCUGGAUGAAGGAGGCUUUGUUGGUUGGAAAAGCUAAGCUGGCAGGAAGGAAGGACAACAUGAGCUGACACAAAUGCCCUAAAUCAUCCGUAAAGGCGAAGAACGAUUGUACGUACGGUUCGCAUUGAUACAGUGUUUGUUUAAAGAAUUAUUAAGGAAAAUUAGAAGAUUCGCUAGUGUGCUGCAAGGAGCGAAAAAUAAGGUGUGGG